AUUGAACGCUGGCGGCAGGCCUAACACAUGCAAGUCGAACGAGUGGCGGACGGGUGAGUAAUGUCUGGGAAACUGCCCGAUGGAGGGGGAUAACUACUGGAAACGGUAGCUAAUACCGCAUACCAUCGGAUGUGCCCAGAUGGUCUUAGCUAGUAGGUGGGGUAGUGGCUCACCUAGGCGACGAUCCCUAGCUGGUCUGAGAGGAUGACCAGUCACACGGGAACUGAGACACGCACCAGACUCCGACGGGAGGCAGCAGUGGGAAAUAUUGGACAAUGGGCGCAAGCGUGAUGCACCCAUGCCGCGUGUAUGAAGAAGGCCUUCGGGUUGUAAAGUACGUUCAGCGGGGAGGCGUUACCCGCAGAAGAAGCACCGGCUAACUCCGUGCCAGCAGCCGCGGUAAUAC
rnacentral:rRNA from 1 species